rnacentral:rRNA from 1 species
UACGUAGGGUGCGAGCGUUGUCCGGAAUUAUUGGGCGUAAAGAGCUCGUAGGCGGUUUGUUGCGUCGGCUGUGAAAUCCCGAGGCUCAACCUCGGUCUGCAGUCGAUACGAGCAAACUAGAGUGUUGCAGGGGAGACUGGAAUUCCUGGUGUAGCGGUGAAAUGCGCAGAUAUCAGGAGGAACACCGGUGGCGAAGGCGGGUCUCUGGGCAACAACUGACGCUGAGGAGCGAAAGCGUGGGGAGCGAACAGG